CGUCCACACCAGGGUCCGGAGGAGCGAUGGUCACCCGGGAUCGAGCCGAGAAUAGGGACGGCCCCAAGGUGAGCGGCGGGAGAAGAGGGAGCCGAGAUCCCUGGUCCGGGCAGGGGACCGUGUCUCUGAGAGCUGGGCUGCAGGGGGGCGAUGUGCACGGGAGACCCGCGGAGCCAGGAGCUGGGAAGGAAGCUGCAAAGCCUGAGGGAGGGGGACAGGGUCAGGCAGGACCUGCGUGGGCGGCAGAAGCACAAGUCCGGGGUUUGGGUCACGGGAGUUGGCAGCUUGCGGUCGCGGGGACGCGGGCGGGGGCUGGUGUUGGCGUGAAACCACCGAGAGGAGCACAGAGCUCGGGGAGGAGGGAGGAGGGAGGAGGGCGGGAAUGAAAGGCGAGACGCGCACUUGCUCCGCGCGGGCUGGCUCGGUGGGCACGGGCUCCAGAGGCCCGAGGCGGGGUGGAGGAUUUUAUCUUAUUUUAUUUUUUUAUUUUUUUGGGGGUGGAGGAUUUUAGAACCAGUUACGAAGGGUGACCGCUCAGACGGGUUAGAGGGAGAAGAGGAGGUGCGGUCGCGCUGGGUAUCUCCCUUUCUACACUCAGGGCCGCCAACUCUGAGUCCGGCACCUUGUGGCCCACGUGUCUGGGCGCAAAGAGGGCCCUCAAAGUUCUCCACUGAGACAGAGAGACACUGCACGAUGCGGAGAAGUAGAGAGAAAAGAGGAGGAGAGACACAGAGAGGGGAGGAGGGAGGACAAGACUGAGAGAGGAGAAUGCAGAAGACCCGGGAGAGAGAGGAGGCGAGCUUCAGAAACUGGCCCUAGGGGCGCUGGGAGGGGGAGCGGAGAGGGGUCGAGUGGGUCGGGCCCUAGGCUCUCAGGAGUCUUGGGGAAGGGGUGGAGGCCGGACUAUCCCAGCGGCGGGGUCCCCACGCCCGCGCGGCCGCGCUGAGUCUUGGUCCCGUCGGCCCGCUCUCCCUUUCCUGCUGGUCCCAGAUGCUGAAGCCGCUAGUGGAGAAGCGGCGCCGAGAUCGCAUCAACCGCAGCCUUGAAGAGCUGAGGCUGCUGCUGCUGGAGCGGACCCGGGACCAGGUCAGUCCUUCCGGACCCCCAAGCACCCCGUCCUCGCGUCCCAGGGCUUCCCACUUGGGUGGGGACGAAUGCUGGCUGCACUGGCGACCCUGGCCCCGAGGCACCCUCACCUGAGUCCCGCCCUUGGAAUCCCAUCCCAGACCCCUUCUUGCUCUCAGAACGCGAUCUUCGUGGCCGCCUCUCGGGUCUAACCUCCGGAACCCGAAGCUGGAGAAAGCAGAGAUACUGGAGUUCGCCGUGGGCUACUUGAGGGAGC